rnacentral:rRNA from 1 species
GACGAACGCUGGCGGCGUGGAUUAGGCAUGCAAGUCGAACGGUAUCAUCCUUUCGGGGGUGAGAGAGUGGCGAACUGGUGAGUAACACGUAGGUUAUCUACCCUCAAGACGGGGACAACCCAGGGAAACUUGGGCUAAUACCGGAUGUGAGCAACUUUUAGUUGUUUGAAAGGUGGCGUAAGCUGUCGCUUGGGGAUGAGCCUGCGUCCUAUUAGUUAGUUGGUGAGGUAACGGCUCACCUAGGCAAUGAUAGGUAGGCGGCCUUAACGGGUGGUCGCCCACACUGGGAUUGAGAUACGGCCCAGACUCCUACGGGAGGCAGCAGUCGAGAAUAGUCUACAAUGGUCGGAAGACUGAUAGUGCGACGCCGCGUGAACGAUGAAUCCCCUUGGGGUGUAAAGUUCUUUUAUAUGUGAGCAGUGCUUCUUAUAUUUAACAGUAUGGGGAAGAGAUAUUAGCAUAUGAAUAAGCAACGGCUAACUCCGUGCCCAGCAGCCGCGGUAAUA